AUGGCCGCCAUGGUCAGAGCAUGCAUGCCACUCCGCACCCCUCCUGCCGCCGCGUCCUCCACCGCCACCGCGCCCGCUGCCCCGAGCAAGCCGCGCUCGAGCGCCCGCGUGCUCGUGCUCGGCGGCACCGGCCGCGUCGGCGGCUCCACGGCCACCGCGCUCUCCAAGCUCCGUCCCGACCUUAACAUCCUCAUCGGCGGCAGGAACCGGGAGAAAGGUGAAUCUUUGGCAUCUGAGCUUGGCGAGCAAUCCGAGUUUGUGAAGAUUGAUACUGGCAACGCAGCCAUGUUGGAGAAAGCGCUAGAGGAUGUGGACUUGGUUGUUCAUACUGCCGGGCCUUUCCAAAGGGAGGCUGAAUGCACCGUCCUGCGAGCGGCGAUUUCGACUAAGACCGCAUAUAUCGAUGUUUGUGAUGAUAUGGACUAUUCAUGGAGAGCCAAAGCUUUUCAUGAAGAAGCAAAAGCUCAAGGUGUUCCAGCUAUUACAACCGCUGGCAUAUAUCCUGGAGUGAGCAAUGUGAUGGCUGCUGAGCUUGUGAGUGCUGCAAGAAGUGAAGAUGGAGAGCCUGAAAGACUAAGAUUCUUCUAUUAUACUGCAGGCUCUGGUGGUGCUGGCCCAACAAUAUUGGCGACAAGUUUUCUGCUUCUUGGGGAGGAUGUAAUUGCAUAUAACAAAGGAGAAGAAAUCAAAUUGAAGCCCUACAGUGGAGUUCUCAACAUUGAUUUCGGAAAAGGGGUCAGAAAGAGAGAUGUUUACUUACUGAAUUUGCCUGAAGUGAAGAGUGCUCAUAAAUUUUUAGGUGUCCCAACGGUCAGUGCUCGAUUUGGUACUGCUCCUUUCUUCUGGAAUUGGGGAAUGGAGGCUUUCGCUAAAUUUUUACCUGUUGAGUUGUUAAGGGAUAAAGAUAAGGUUGGAAAGUUGGUUAAAGAAAUUGAUCCCCUUGUUCGAGCCAUUGAUGGCAUUGUAGGAGAGCGUGUGUCCAUGAGAGUAGACUUGGAGUGUUCGAAUGGCCGAAAUACUAUUGGAUUAUUUUCUCAUAGAAAACUAUCUGUAUCGGUGGGCCAUUCAACGGCUGCAUUUGUUCAAGCAGUUCUGGAGGGAAGCACACAACCAGGUGUUUGGUUUCCGGAAGAGCCAGAGGGAAUAGCAAUUGAAUCAAGGAAGCUGCUUCUGGAGCGUGCGUCCCAAGGAACAACAAACUUCGUGAUGAACAAGCCUUCAUGGAUGAUAGAGACUGAUCCAAAGGAAGUUAUCCUAGGAAUAUACGUGUGA
rnacentral:rRNA from 1 species